CUGAUGAAACAGGGAUCUGUUGAAGUGCAUCAGCUACUAAUAAAAUACAAACUCAGCUGGCAGAAUAUUGCCUCGAGUCUUUUUUCAUGUCUUGAGCAGUUACAGAAGUCAGAAUGAGACACAAGAAAAUUCUCCAGUCAUCGCUGCCCAUCAGGUACUGUACAUUUUAUUGCAUUAUACAAUUGCCAUCCAAUCCAUUCACAGCACUUUCCAAUGUAUCCUUAACAAAUCCUGUCCUGCGACUGUACACUGCUAAUUCCAAAGUUCUUAACCUAGGAAAAAAUGCAUAUGGGAAGGCAAGGUAAAGGAAACUCAGCUGAUGUGCUACUUAUGGGCUAUAUGCAUGGGAUUGAAUGUCAUUCAGCAAAGAUAUUUUAGAAUUUACAUGAAUCUCAAAUGCUACAGCUUUAAUGCUUAGAUAAUGCAUUCAAGAGAGCAGAAAAUAAAUUAUGGCAAGUUCUGCAAUUAAGUGGAAGAGAGCUGAUGCUGUUGCUCAGCAGUUUUAUUUGUGCACAUAGGAGGAGUAAGACAUCAGUGUGCAAGCAUCUGUAAGAAACAGACUCUUCCAAGACAGAGGUAUGAUAUGCUCUCACCUGGUGAACAUCCCUUCUGUAGCCAGAAUCAUUGUUGCUUCCUCCAAUUACAUAGAGCUUUCCCAGCAGUGCAGCCAUCCCAUGCCAAGCACGUCUCUCUGGACUAUCUGCUAAAACUUCCCAGCGGUCAGUCUUUGGAUCAUAACAUUGCAGCUCCUUCAAAUAAUCUUCUCCUCUCCUCCCACAGGUAAUAUACAUCUUCCCAUCCAGUGCUGCUCCAGCGUGUGCAUAUACCUGCAUAACCAUGUGGGAAAGCAAGAGUUCGAGUGAGAGGCUCCUAUCUUUUUUGCCAGCAAGCAUACAGACUGGGCUAAAGGCUUACUGACUCAGAGAUGGGCAACAGGGUGGAAAUGAGAAUAGCAGGAUUAUCCUUAUCUUACC